rnacentral:rRNA from 1 species
GACGAACGCUGGCGGCGUGCCUAAUACAUGCAAGUAGAACGCUGAAGGAGGAGCUUGCUUCUCUGGAUGAGUUGCGAACGGGUGAGUAACGCGUAGGUAACCUGCCUGGUAGCGGGGGAUAACUAUUGGAAACGAUAGCUAAUACCGCAUAAGAGUAGAUGUUGCAUGACAUUUGCUUAAAAGGUGCAAUUGCAUCACUACCAGAUGGCCCUGCGUUGUAUUAGCUAGUUGGUGGGGUAACGGCUUACCAAGGCGACGAUACAUAGCCGACCUGAGAGGGUGAUCGGCCACACUGGGACUGAGACACGGCCCAGACUCCUUCGGGAGGCAGCAGUAGGGAAUCUUCGGCAAUGGACGGAAGUCUGACCGAGCAACGCCGCGUGAGUGAAGAAGGUUUUCGGAUCGUAAAGCUCUGUUGUAAGGGAAGAACGAGUGUGAGAGUGGAAAGUUCACACUGUGACGGUAUCUUACCAGAAAGGGACGGCUAACUACGUG